rnacentral:rRNA from 1 species
AUUGGACGCUGGCGGCAUGCUUUACACAUGCAAGUCGAACGGUAACAGGCCGCAAGGUGCUGACGAGUGGCGAACGGGUGAGUAAUGCAUCGGAACGUGCCCAGUCGUGGGGGAUAACGCAGCGAAAGCUGUGCUAAUACCGCAUACGAUCUGUGGAUGAAAGCGGGGGACCGUAAGGCCUCGCGCGAUUGGAGCGGCCGAUGUCAGAUUAGGUAGUUGGUGGGGUAAAGGCUCAUCAAGCCGACGAUCUGUAGCUGGUCUGAGAGGACGACCAGCCACACGGGGACGGAGACACGGCCCAGACUCCUACGGGAGGCAGCAGUGGGGAAUUUUGGACAAUGGGCGCAAGCCUGAUCCAGCAAUGCCGCGUGCAGGAAGAAGGCCUUCGGGUUGUAAACUGCUUUUGUACGGAGCGAAAAGGCUCUCUCUAAUACAGGGGGCUCAUGACGGUACCGUAAGAAUAAGCACCGGCUAACUACGUGCCAGCCGCCGCAGUAAUAC